rnacentral:misc_RNA from 1 species
GAUGAAGAACGUAGCGAAAUGCGAUAAGUAAUGUGAAUUGCAGAAUUCAGUGAAUCAUCGAAUCUUUGAACGCACAUUGCGCCCGCCAGUAUUCUGGCGGGCAUGCCUGUUCGAGCGUCAUUACAACCCUCAGGCCCCCGGGCCUGGCGUUGGGGAUCGGCGGAGCCCCCCGUGGGCACACGCCGUCCCCCAAAUGCAGUGGCGGUCCCGCCGCAGCUUCCAUCGCGUAGUAGCUAACACCUCGCGACUGGAGAGCGGCGCGGCCACGCCGUAAAACACCCAACUCUUCUGAAGUUGACCUCGAAUCAGGUAGGAAUACCCGCUGAACUUAAGCACAUCAAUAAGCGGAGGA